ACGAAUAUUGAUUAGAUACAAUGUCAUUGUUCGAAAUUGAAUAAGUAAUUUACAUUUUGUUUAGAAAAUGUUGUACAACUUAGGCAAGUUAAGAACUGAAAAUCUUUUUCAGUUUUUUGUCCAUCAUGUUUAUCCGUUCUUUCUUCAACUUACAUUCAGCUGUAAUGGCUGAAUUUAAAGCGGAAGCGAUGCAUCUACUUCAACUUCAACAAUGUUGGAAACAGUUAUUGUCCUUAGCUACCUCAACUCCACACCAUUUAUACAUAAUGUGCUUGCGGUGUAUUCCAGGCUGGGAUUUGGACACAUUCCAGUGUUGGAUUGUGGUGGGGUUUAAUACCAAAUCAAUGGAUUAAAUCCUUUAUAUAAAGGAGGCAAAUGAACAAUUUUAUUACACUCAAAAUAUAUUUAAUAACAACACACAAAAUAAAUUUAUAUUGGACACUAAUAAUUGAGCCUCACUCUUGAGAAUAGCUGCUCAAACACUCACUCAAAAAUUCAACUCGUUCAUUUCCUAUCUUUCACUUGAGCUUUGGUGCCCUUCAACUGAGGAAAUGGGAUUUAUUUAUACAAGCGGCUGUAAUUUUUCUCUUCUCAUUCAAUACCCAAUUGCCAGAAAAUCCGGUGAACUUCGCGAGUAAAUCUGGUUCAAGAUACAAGCACGAACCAAGUUGAUCAGCCGCCCACGUUCAGCUUCAAGACUGGACUUUGGCAAUUUGUCUAUUGCCAAUAAAUGAGUAAAACAAACACUCCAAAGCCAUAAAAUUCAUUCUGAACACCCUGACUAAAGAUUCAUCGCUCUUUAGCACAAACAACAUUUUCAAAAAGCAUAUUAAUUAAUAAUAAUAAACCUCAAUGAUAG
rnacentral:lncRNA from 1 species